CCGCGGGGAUAUCUGGGGGCACCGAGAUAUCGUAUCCCCGGGGCGAGGGAGCGGUGAGAGUGACGGGUAUCUCUUAAGGCAGAAAUGUUAACACCCUCUUAACGGCGACAUUAAGGAUGGUGGGGCCCAGCACGGUUUCCCCGUAAAGGGUCUCCAGCUGCCUCCGAGAGAAGACGCCGCCGGUAGGGUCCUGCGGCGGUGGCCCGGGCCGGUCGGUUUCCCGCAGAGGAAGCAGUACCUUGAAGCGGAAUUGGAGAGUCAAUUCUUAGGAUAGCAGAGAGAUGGAGAGCAACAAACGGGAUUACACGAUGCUGUGUGAACAUUUCACGCACAGGACAACUUUCAAAGUUGGAGUCAAUCCUCUCACAUAUUGCUGCUGCUCUAGCAGCUAAAAUACACAUCAUAUUCAAAACCGGUUGUUGUCUUUUCCACACUCUUCACCAGGAGCAGAUUCCAUCUCCAGAAACCACUUUCCCUACCCAUGCAUAAGUCACA